rnacentral:lncRNA from 1 species
GCGUGGAAGGCAGCGCGGAUGCUUUGGUGGUUGUGGCGGCUGAAGAUUAGAAACCCUAAGGUUUCUAAUGUUUUUGGGCCAUUGGUUUUGGGCCUCUGUAGUUUGGUUUGGGCCACAUCGGCCCGUUUGUAUUUUGCGCCUUUUACUCGGGCCAAAAUCUGGUAUUACAAGACUAAUACAUAAGUUGUGGAAUUAUAAAUCAAUACAACAAAUACAUCAUAACACUUGAAA